GCCAGGGAGAAGAUGCCACAGGGUCAAGCAUCAGCAAUCUACAACGGGUGAAGAGUAGAUUUGGUAAUCACUCUCUCAUUUAUGAAUUAUUUCUUUCAAUAUUUUUCUUUUUCUUUUUCUUUUGUGAUUUUUGGGUAACUAUAAACAAAAUUUGUGCCUGGUAUUUAGCUCUCUCUCUCAACUAUUCUUCAAUUUUAUUAGAUUUGGUGGUGAGGGCUACACGAUGCUUUGGUGGUGAGGGCUAGAUCGGUGCAGGUGGUGGUCGACUGUGUCUUGUGCAAGGUCGGGGAUAGACGGGGACUGAAGGGUGACGAAUGGGUAAGAUUUUUUCUCACCUGUUUUUUUUUUAAUUUUUUGCAAAAGAAUUAGCAUAAAAAUUUGUGGAGAAGCAUUCUUUUGAUUCACUCUAGAGUCAUCUACUUCAGAUUCUUAUCACAUUUUUUUCAGCCUUUUGAAGUUAUUCAUUUAUCUAUGAUUUUGUUUUUUUUAAUUAUAUCUUAUGGUAACAACUUUACAUUUUCUCUCUUUCCAGAAGCGAGAUGAUGCUCGACAGUUUAUGAAGUUUUUCCAUCCGGAUCUUGGUGUUGGUAAUGUAGUUUAAGCUUGCAAAAUUUAACUUUGCAUAUUAUUUAUGCAAAUUCUUUUAUUUUUCAUCAGUUGAAUGAGAAGCUUAUGCUGAUUGUUUAUACUUUGGAAUUCUGCCUUUGUAAUUACGUGCAGAACUUCCUGAAAUAUCUUAUGGAGCUGACUGCCGCAUAUAUCUUCCUGAAAAUCCUACAAGCAGGUUUAAUAAUGUUUAUGAAACACUUUUUGAUGAAUUCGUUUUAGCUCAUAUUAUUGGAUGGUGGGGUAAAGCUAUAUUGCUUCAUAAUCAGCCUCUUCUUUGGGUGCUAUAAAUUGGAUUUGAGAUGAUGGAGCUUACCUUCCGUCACAUGCUACCAAAUUUUAAUGAAUGCUGGUGGGACAGUAUUGUUCUUGAUAUUUUGAUCUGCAACUGGUUUGGUAUCUGGGCAGGAAUGCAUACUGUUAGGUACUUUGAUGGAAAAAUGUACAAGUGGGUUGGGAUAAGCCGUUAGCCUAAUAUUAUUGGAAAAGUAUGCUCUAAGUUUGAUGUU